rnacentral:lncRNA from 1 species
GAGAAAAGGCCUUGAGGGGAAAGAGAGUGGGAAGGGAGUAUCCAGGGUGCCCAGCAACAGGUCCCGCUCUUCGUGUUUCUUGAAGGUCGGCAUGAGGUCUCCCUAGACUCUGGGAAGAGCCGGCGUUCAGGUCCUGAGGAAUUAAUGCCUCUGUAGAUCAGAACCUCUGUCUGGCACAAUCUCCAGCUCUGGCUCUGGCCUCUUGUGACGAGGGAGACGCUUGACCACGCAGGAUGCAGACUCAGCACUUUCAGAGGCUUUCAUCCAGUCCCGAGUUACACGUCAUGCUCACCUCCAUUUUCCCGGACUGCAGUUCUUGGAGAAGGAAAAGAAUAACCUGACUGGCCAGGAUAUGGACUUCAACUGCAGCUUGUUUAAAUCAACAACAAAUACUCAACCAACUUGGGAAGCAGAGGCAAGAAGAUCUCUGAGUUCAAGGCCAGCCUGGCCUACAAGGCCAGUUCCAAGAUAGCCAGGGCUACAGAGGAAACCCUGUCUCCAAAAACAAAAAACAUCCCAAAACUGUAAUUUUUUGAGGUAGGGUUUCAUGUAGCCUAGGCUGACCUCUAGCUCUCCAUCUCCCCUACUCCGCCCCCAAACACAAAACAGGGUUUCUUUGCAUAGCCCAGGCUGUCCUGGAACUCUGCAGAGGGUGGCCUUGAACUGUCUGUGCUGGGAUUAAAGCUAAUGCUAACCUCCAGCUUUUUAGUAUUUUAUUUUUAAUUAUGUAUUACGUAAGUUCAAGUACUCUCAGGGGCCAGAAGAGGAUGUGGGAUACCCUAGACCUGGAGGUAGAGUUGUGAGCUACCCGACCUGGAUGCUGGGAACCAAACCUGAAAUCACAAAGGUCAAAAAGUGCUUUUUUAAGCCCCGAUCUAGCCCUUUUGCUUCCCUGGCCUCAAACUUCUGUGUUUUUUUUUGUUUGUUUGUUUUUUUUUUUUUUUUUUUUUGAAACAGGGUUCUUCUGUAGCUUUGGAGCCUAUCCUGUCCUAGAACUUACUCUGUAUACCAAGCUCAAACUCAAGAGAUCUGCCUGCCUCUGCCUCCCGAGUGCUGGGAUUACAGGCAUGAGCCACCACUGCCUAGCUCAAGCUCUUUAUUCUCCUCCCUCUAACACACACUCAGCUGUGGCUUCAUUUGCUCAGACCACUGUUUUCUUGUUGCAAAUGCAUUAGGAUUUUUCAAGACAGGGUUUUCUCUGUGGCUUUGGAGGCUGUCCUGGAACUGCCUCUUAUAGACCAGGCUGGUCUGGAACUCACAGAGAUCCGCCUGCCUCUGCCUCCCGAGUGCUGGGAUUAAAGGCGAGUGCCACCACCGCCCAACAGGAUUUUUCUUUUUAAUCCCCUCUUGAAAGCGAGAGCCAUAUUACAUUUUUCUUUUAAAGCUAGGGUUAGAGGUCAGUAGUAGAACAUGUGCCUAACAUGUGCUUUGGGUUCAAUUCCCCAACAUAAUAUCAUAGCAAGGAAAUUAAUUGUAUGGAAAAUAAAAUCCAACAUGGUGGCGGGGUAGAAUUAAAACAAGCCCAACCCAACCCAACCCAACCCCACCUCCCUCUUAUACUGGUGGUGGAAUA